rnacentral:rRNA from 1 species
UACGUAGGGUGCAAGCGUUAAUCGGAAUUACUGGACGUAAAGCGUGCGCAGGCGGUCGUGCAAGACAGAUGUGAAAUCCCCGGGCUCAACCUGGGAACUGCAUUUGUGACUGCACGUCUGGAGUACGGCAGAGGGGGAUGGAAUUCCGCGUGUAGCAGUGAAAGGCGUAGAUAUGCGGAGGAACACCGAUGGCGAAGGCAAUCCCCUGGCCUGUACUGACGCUCAUGCACGAAAGCGUGGGGUGCAAACAGG